GCUGGGCAUGGUGGCUCAUGCCUGUAAUCCCAGCACUUUGGGAGGCUGAGGUGGGUGGAUCACCUGAGGUCAGGAGUUCGAGACCAGCCUGACCAACAUAGUGAAACCCCAUCUCUA
rnacentral:SRP_RNA from 1 species